AUUGAACGCUGGCGGCAUGCUUUACACAUGCAAGUCGAACGGUAACAGGCCGCAAGGUGCUGACGAGUGGCGAACGGGUGAGUAAUGCAUCGGAACGUGCCCAGUCGUGGGGGAUAACUAUCCGAAAGGAUAGCUAAUACCGCAUACGAUCUGCGGAUGAAAGCGGUGGACCUUCGGGCCUCGCGCGAUUGGAACGGCCGAUGUCAGAUUAGGUAGUUGGUGGGGUAAAGGCUCACCAAGCCAACGAUCUGUAGCUGGUCUGAGAGGACGACCAGCCACACUGGGACUGAGACACGGCCCAGACUCCUACGGGAGGCAGCAGUGGGGAAUUUUGGACAAUGGGCGCAAGCCUGAUCCAGCAAUGCCGCGUGCAGGAAGAAGGCCUUCGGGCUGUAAACUGCUUUUGUACGGAACGAAACGGCUCUGGUUAAUACCUGGGGCUAAUGACGGUACCGUAAGAAUAAGCACCGGCUAACUACGUGCCAGCCGCCGCAGUAA
rnacentral:rRNA from 1 species